UACGUAGGGUGCAAGCGUUGUCCGGAAUUAUUGGGCGUAAAGAGCGUGUAGGCGGCCAGAUAAGUCCGGUGUGAAAGUCACAGGCUCAACCUGUGAAUGCCGCUGGAAACUGUCUGGCUCGAGUCCGGGAGGGCGAGUGGAAUUCCUGGUGUAGCGGUGAAAUGCGCAGAUAUCAGGAGGAACACCAAUGGCGAAGGCAGCUCGCUGGAACGGUACUGACGCUGAGGCGCGAAAGCGUGGGGGAGCGAACAGG
rnacentral:rRNA from 1 species